rnacentral:lncRNA from 1 species
UAAAUUCUGAGGACUCCAAAAUUAUUUUACAUUUUUAUAUUUAAUUUUAAAUUUAUUUGGAUGGAGAAAUUAAUUAAAAUACUUUCUGAUCAAUUAUUUUUCAUUUUUAUUUUUCAUUGACAAUACAAUAAGAAGAACAAGGAAACCAACUAAAAGAAUAUACAGAGCAUAGAUGAAAAUGAUAAAAGAAGAAGAUGAUGAAUUCAGAAAGAGGAACGAUUACUGAAUAAUUAAAAAAAAAAAAACGAUUACUGAAUAAUUAAAAAAAAAUCUUCUUUAUUUUGAUCUUCAACCUUCCUUGAUAAGGUGACACUGAAUUGAAUCAGUAAACUAUCCAUCAAAAACUCUUCACAGAGACUUCUAUUCCUCUGGAUUUGCAAGAGAUUCUUCAUUUUUGCCACUGAUGAUAGUGAAUUCUAACAAAAAUGCAUCCCAUAAACAUACAAAAAUUGUUAUUUUCAAAAGGAAAAAGAAAAUGAGAACUAGAAGAGGAACAAAAGAAAAAUAUUACCUUUUCAUAGUCAGGUUAGGAGACUCUAGUUUUCUUUCAAAUCAUUCAUAAGACGAAUAAACAUCUCAAAAAAAGACGGUUGAUUCUUGUUGAUUUUUAUAAAUCAAAUAACCCAGAAUUUAUUGUUUAAGAUGAUAAAAAAAGUUAAGAGAUAGAUAAGAAGAAGGACGGAGGAAUGAAUGACAGAUCGAAAAUAAUAUGCCUUCUUAGUU